rnacentral:rRNA from 1 species
UGAGGAAUAUUGGUCAAUGGGUGCAAGCCUGAACCAGCCAUCCCGCGUGAAGGACGACUGCCCUAUGGGUUGUAAACUUCUUUUGUAUAGGGAUAAACCUACCCUCGUGAGGGUAGCUGAAGGUACUAUGCGAAUAAGCACCGGCUAACUCCGUGCCAGCAGCCGCGGUAAUACGGAGGGUGCAAGCGUUAUCCGGAGUUAUUGGGUUUAAAGGGUCCGUAGGCGGACUUAUAAGUCAGUGGUGAAAGCCUGUCGCUUAACGAUAGAACUGCCAUUUAUACUGUAAGUCUUGAGUAUAUUUGAGGUAGCUGGAAUAAGUUGUGUAGCGGUGAAAUGCAUAGAUAUUACUUAGAGCACCAAUUGCGAAGGCAGGUUACCAAGAUAUCACUGCCGCUGAGGGACGAAAGCGUGGGGAGCGAACA